CAACAUAUUUACUUUAUUGUGUAGUGAGUUCAGGGGAUGACAUGAGUUAUCCCCCCCUCCUCACCAGCACCACUCUGUAUCCAAGCGGUUGGGAGGGGGGGUUAGAAAAGUUCAUAACCUGAUAAACUUCCUUUUAGUAAACUUUCAUUUGAAGUUUCAUGAAAAUGAAACAAAAAAAUCAACAAUAGCUGAUAGUACAAAAGUUUGGCUGUAAGAUACUUUAAAGAAAGUAGAAAAGGAGGAAAAAGAAGAAAAAAAGGGUAACUAUUGUGGAAAUGUCAUGCUCAGAGAAAAAUGACGCUUGGGAUGAGAAUUAAGUCUAUAUACCUUUGCUACUGGAAAUAAGGUCGAGCAGCUUGUCGUGCUAUUAGACCAGAAACGCUUGUCAACGACUGUCUUCUUUUAUCCAAACAAUACAUAGACUCAUCCCUCUUAUGCUGCUCUCCAGUAUCCUCUUAUUCUGUGGAAUGGACAAGAUUCCACAAAUUGAACCGGCAACAGGAGAGCCAAUUACAAACAAAAUGGUAUCGUCAAAUGACUUCUAUUCUUACCAACUGAUAUUAAGACCAGAACAAUCAAAUCAAUUACACACGUAUCAUGAUCUAUUUCAACAAUACCUGGUUGAUAUGUAUGCUAAAGUUGAGAGUCAACAUCUCCUCUGCAUUCGUAAGAAUCAAAAAAGUUAAGGGCUAAAAAUUAUGUUCAUCUCCAAGAUGUUCUGAGGGCAGACGGCGAUAUUCAAAACAUGGGGCAACAUAUAAUUCUCCCAUCAUCAUUCACAGGUGAUCCUCGAUAUAUGCACCAACGAACACAAGAUGCUAUGACAUAUGUCAGGACAUAUGGAAAACCAGAUCUUUUUGUCACUUUCACCUGCAAUCCUAAAUGGGAUGAAAUAAAAUCUAACCGUCUUCCAGUGUUGUAUCUUCUGGUAUUACAGCUACCAGGAAGAACUGCUCAAUUCACGUUCAAGCUUCCUCUAAACCUUGCAAUGAAAGAAUCUAAAUGUGCAACAUUUCCCAAAACUCUGCAAUGGCAACAGUUCUCCAACAAACUUACCUCAUUGUUUGGGAUGAGUGGAGUUCCAGAGGUACUUGACCGUACCCUCUAUACGAGUUAAUUUGUUCCCGGAGGCCGCUCGUAAAGCGAAAACUCGUACAGUAGAGCAAUAAUUUCCCAUAAUAGCAAUGUUAUAAAUCGUAAUUCGUUUCCAGAAAAAUGUUUUACCAAUAAAAUUUAUAAUACUUGUAAAUGAAUGGCAAUAAAACAACAGUAGAAUGUAAUUAAUAUUUUAUGUAAAGUAAAAAGAAUGUCAAGAUCAUUUAUAAUAAAAAAAAUAUC